AACAGAUCCUAAGCUUAAAAUGAUUAAUAACCACUGACCUAAAGGAAUGUUGAGAAAUGACCCUGGACACAAAUUCGACUCUGAUUAUGAAAGAUGCUAAUUGCCUUGCAAUAACUAUAGACUUUCCUCUGUAAUCAAUACGAAGUCAGUGUCAGUGUCAGUUUUUAGGAGGAAUGAAUAAUUGCAAUAUCUGCUGCAUUCCUGGGGCAUAGAACAGUCCUUAGAUGCUCAGCAAAUAUUUGUCAGAUGAUAGUCUGAAGUGUGGAUUGAGAGACCAGAGGCAGGAAAACUGGUUUGUUUUUAGAUUUUAGGGAAGAGAUGCUUAGAUGAAUGAGAGCCAUUCUGAGAAAUUAUAUUUCAACUCUCUAAUUACUUUGUAAUAUUGGCCUUUAUCAAGAAAAGAAAUGUGAAAUAGUCCCUGGAUAUUUUUUUUUUCCCUGUAGAGCAUUCAAUAUCUUUCCAAGAGUUUACCAUGAUUUCUUAAUGAGUGUAAGCAAUCCUUUGCUAAUGCAAUUUUUCAGAUUUCGUAGUUUGAAUAAAUAGAAAGCCAAUAUAUAAACUGAGCACAAAGCAGCUUAAAGGGAUUCACUGUGGUGAUAAUCACAGUAUCUCUUCUUUAAAAUAGGGGAUCCUGCUUGGAGUUUCUGUGUGCUUUGAAACAUGUCAAUUUAAACCUAUGUAAUUUAGCAUAUAUUGUGAGGAUAUUUUGAGAUUACAUAGCCUAUAAGUCAAAAUUCCAUAAAAAAAACAGCUGGAACACUCAAAAUAGGAUAAAUUAGGGAGGUUUUAUUUAUGUUGCAACUAUUUAGAGAGGUAAAUAAAGAGGAAGAAGAGACCAGGGGAAUGGAAAAUAUUUGAAAAGCAAGAAAAAAAAAGUGUGUGUGGGAUGGAGGGCACAGGUGUAGGCUUUAACUUUGAGAUGAGAUGUACCGCUUCCUUCAGCCCUGCAGGAAGGGAUUAAACAAACAGAUGUAGCAAUAGAUAUAUUGAAGCCCAAAGUUGAUGAGAAAGCCCAUGCUACUUGACUGGGACUAGACUAACUCUUGCCUUGGAUUCUCACUGAUCGCAAGAGGUCUCUUGGCUGGUAAGGGGGAGAAGUUAUCCUCAUUCUCUAGCCAAACAAGGCGUCAUUUUCUUAUUGUCGAGAAAGAGACACGUGAACAGGUCUACCUGGGGUUAAUCUUCCUUUCCUCUUACACCCAGGCAUCAGGUACCACAUGCUGGUGUCCUUGAACCCCAUUCCCUUUAACAGAGAUCAUGUGUUGUACUGGAGAGAUAAGUACAAUCUAGUUGUACCAAAAAUGACACAGGAGAUCUCUUGUGGUUCAGUGGGCUAAGGAUCCAGCAAGUGUCACUGCAGUGACUUUGGUUGCUGCUGUAACUGGGGUUCAAUCCCUGGUCCAGGAAUUUCUGCAUGGGGGGGGGCAUGGCCAAAAAAAAGAAAAUGACACAGAAGUAUUUUCUCGACCUAUACUUUAAAAAUAGCUUUGGAGUUCCCGUUGUGGUUCAGUGCGUUAAGAACCCAGCACAGUGUCCGUGAAGAUGUGGGUUUGAUCCCUGGCCUCACUUAGUGGGGGAAGGAUCCAGCAUUGCACAAGCUGCGGUGUAGGUCCCGGAUGUAAUUUGGAUCUGGUGUGGCUGUGGCCGUGGUGCAGGCUGGCAGCUGCAGCUCCAGUUUGACCCCUAGCCUGGGAACUUCCGAAACCACACCACAGACAAGAUGGCGAUCAUAUCUGUCACCCCCAGUUUCCUCGUGCCCCUCUGUGCGAUCCCCCCUUCCUGCUCCUCCUUUACCCUCAGGCUUGUUGUCACUAUAGAUUGAUUUGCAUGUAUAAUGUUACAUAAAUGGAAUUCCACAAUGUCUACUCCUUUUUUUAAUCUGACUUCUACUUAAUAAUUAUUUUGAGAUCCAUCAAUAUAGAAUAUUAAAAUACCAGUUAGGCUCUCAGUUUAACAUUCAACCCUUUCACUUGCUUUUGGUAAACAUUCUGUCCCAUUUCCUUCUGGUGUUAAACAUUCUUUUUCUUAUCCACCUCGCUAAGCCAACAACCUCUUCCACCUUCCCAUGAACACAAGCAUUUUCCCCCCUUCCUUGUGAUAAAUAAAGCUUCAGAACAAAAUUGCAUUACUUUCUCCCUGUUUUCACCUUUCUUCCUCUCAUCUCAGGGAUGAAGAGUCCAGCUGGGCUCUGCUGUGUUUGUUUCCUUCUUUUUGCUGUUUCACUCUGUUGCUCAUCUCUUUCUUCUGUACCUUCAACCUCUUUCCAUCACUGCUUCAUUUCCCUAAGCCUGUGAGUUUCUUAUCCUAAAAUAAAACAAUCAAAAUAAUCACAAUAAUUAAAUAUAAGAAUGGUUUGCUGUCUGUACUUUACCCCUCCUGCCUCAUCUGUGUUUCCUUGCUCACUCAAGCCUCUUUAAAGCAAGGUCCACACAGGACCAGCUACGGAAUUUGCAGAGCCAAGUACAAAAUGAAAACGCAAGAUCUCUUGCUCAAAAUUAUGAAGAAUUUCUAGGAGUUCCUGUCGUGGCUCAGUGGUUAAUGAAUCCAACUAGGAACUAUGAGACUGCCGGUUCGAUCCCUGGCCUUGCUCAGUGGGUUAAGGAUCCGGCAUUGCCGUGAGCUGUGGUGUAGGUUGCAGAUGCGGCUUGGAUCCUGCCUUGCUGUGACUUCAGCAUUGGCUGGAGGCUACAGCUCCGCUUUGACCCCUAGCCGGGGAACCUUCAUAUGCCAUGGGAGCAGCCCUAGAAAAGAC
rnacentral:lncRNA from 1 species